rnacentral:rRNA from 1 species
GUCUACGGCCAUGCCACCCUGAACACGCCCGAUCCCAUCUGAUCUCGGAAGCUAAGCAGGGUUGGGCCUGGUUAGUGCUUGGAUGGGAGACCACCUAGGAAGACCAGGUGCUGUAGGUG